rnacentral:rRNA from 1 species
UACGGAGGGUGCAAGCGUUGUCCGGAUUCAUUGGGUUUAAAGAGCGCGCAGGCGGUCGAUCAAGUCGAGUGUGAAAGCCCCCGGCUCAACUGGGGAGGGUCAUUCGAUACUGAUCGACUCGAAGGCAGGAGAGGGUAGUGGAAUUCCCGGUGUAGUGGUGAAAUGCGUAGAUAUCGGGAGGAACACCAGUGGCGAAGGCGACUACCUGGCCUGUUCUUGACGCUGAGGCGCGAAAGCUAGGGGAGCAAACGGG